rnacentral:lncRNA from 1 species
CAGAGCUCUCUCUUCUCUCCUCUUCCUCCUCUAGAUCUUCUCUUCUUUUGGAGCAUCCAAAAUAUCAAAAGAAGAAGAGGAGUUUACCCCUUGAAAAUCCUUGCAAUCUAGCACUUCCAAGGAGCCUGAUCUACAUCGAUCUUCAUGUGGAUAUUUUGUAAAGGUCGAACGUCUUCAUGCGGCUGCGAGCAACCUGAAGGAGAAUCUAUCCAAGUGUUGGACUAGCAA